rnacentral:sRNA from 1 species
CAGGGAGCUAAUUGCCCCCAAUUAAAGAAGCAAACAAAAAUUCUUUAAAAAAAAAUCCACGAGGCCCUCCCCCUUUAUUGCACUUAAAAGAGGGGAGUAGGGGGAAGCAAUCUAUGCGCGUCCCAACCAAUGGAGCUGCUGGCGCGGUGCGGAAGAGCUGGACAGCACCUCCGUGCCGUCCGGGGGUCAGGUGGACUCCCGCAGUCUCCCGGCGAGGGGCGGGGCUGGGUGGCAGCGUGCAGGUGGCCGAGCUCCUGCCCGCGGGAGACCGGUGUCUGCGUCGCGGUCCCCGCGAUCUUGCGGUCUGAGGGAGGGUCCGCGAACCGACCCCGGCGCCUGUCACUGGAGCGGGCACCUGGCGCUCCCGCGCUGCGGCGCGCAGAGCUGGCUGCGGGGCUGGGGAAUCCGCGGCCACCGCCUCUAAUCCGCCCUUAAGUAGUCUCCGCCUGCGUCACGCCAGGUCGGCGGAGGGGAGCAGAGCGCGGCGUGCCGCUGUCGCCGAGCGUCGGAGCCCGAGGGGCCGCGGCCGCGCGCCGCGGGGGGGAGGAGACGGUCUGGAGUCCCCCGCUGCGCAGGGGAUGGGGAGACGGAGGACUGCAGCGCCCCUUGGGGCUUCUGAUGCGCCCAGGUAAUCUCACCUGGCCGCCAGCCUCCCGCAGGAGGAACAGACACGCUGGUUCCACACCGAGCCUGUUAACAGCUCGACUUCCAAUAUUUGGUAAGUGAAACCUCACUGGACCUUCAUACUCGUAAGAAUCUAGGUUGAUCUAUUGGCCUCUGCUUUCCUGGGCCAUCUGUGCCUGGGAUGACAGAAGACAUGUGCUCCUCUUGGUACUGUCCACAGUUGUUCACCAUUGUGGAAAUGAAGCAUUUGCUGGAGGACUAUGAUGAAGACACACAGAACAUCGAAUUCUUGUGACCUAAGAGAGCUACCUAUCUCCGCUCUUCUUUGUGGUGUAAUUGUACUUAAAACAGAGGAAAAGGAGAUCCACUUUCCAUAUAGGGAUCUUUACCCAUUAGGGCUGGUCUGGAUUCCUGGGGGUGGGGGUUUGUAUAACUCUUGGUCCCUGCUGCUCUCCUCUCCUCUCAUUUCCUCUUCCCUGUGAUCAUGACACUGGCUACACUAAGCCAGGCAGAGCUGCAGCAGCACAGCCUAGGCUGCAGCAUCAGCAUCAGCAUCAGCAAGGUGGCCUUGGAAAGCUGAUCGGAGCCCUGGACACAUCUCUCCUGGGAAGUGGCAACAUCUGCAGUGUCUUGGGAUUUCUGUGAUGGGGAGGGACUCCAUUCCACUUGGGAUUGGUCUCCUCGUUAAAAUCUUUCACAUAUCAUUCACAAACGGUUAUAAUUAACUCAGCUUCACUUCCCUCAGUGGCCUACAUGCAUCUGUUCCCCAAUGGAAAUAUCAAACUGUCUUUUGAAGGGGCAAAACUAACCUGUUUUAGGAGACUUAAAAGAACAUAAAUGGCAAAUGAAAUCUAUUCUUCGGUACAAGGCGAUAUCUCCCUUUUUAAAUUUUUUUUUUAUCUUUGUGCUUCUUCCAUAUAUUUAAAUCUCAGCCCAGAGUUCUAGAGAAACACUUGCCUUGAAAGAUACAUAAAAGUUACUGUCUCAAAGGGGAAUAAAGCUGUCCGACCUACUGAUCAUAAAUACUCCUAAAUAUGACCAUAAUCAUGAACCCAAAAUCCAAACUGUGACUUAGCCUCAAGAAACCAUUUUUCCAACUGAUGUUCAAAUCUACCAUCUUCCUCCUUCUAAUCCUUUGAACAAAAGAGUAGGUACCCCUUUAAAAAAAUCACACGCACAAAUUCCCCACUCCUCACUCACCUUGUAUAUAGAAAAUAUACCUUGCACCGUAAUAUCUCAGGGAUUAACGUAAUAUGGUAUUGUGGCCAGAGCAGAUGUGUGAAAUCACAGCAAAUAAAUUAACACUCCAUUAAGAAUCAAAUCAGCCCUGCUGACACAUAAUCUUUCCCGUUUAUGUCAAGUCGUGAUUCCCAUUCACAUUGGGAGCUUCCCAGGGAGGCUCAUUAGACCUGCAGAAAGAGAUUUCUUUUAAGUCAAAGCUAUUCACAAGUUAUUCAGCUAUAGUGAGGGCAAAAGAGCCUUCCUGGCAUCUGGGUACCCGCCUCCCCACGAUCUCUUUGUCCCUGUCCACCCAAAGCCCCAGCCAUGCAGGAUAUAGCUAGGCUUCCUGCUGAAUUUGCAGACUGUAUAAAAGAGAUGAGGAAAUUACAGAGGAAAUAUGUGUGGGCAGGGCCUGCCCUUGAGAAAUUGUCAAACUGGGAGAAUACCUUUUGGUUGUCAUCAGCCUCUGCUGCUUUUACACCAGAGUACAGUGCUGAAAGUCAGACCUCAGGGCUGAGUUCUUCCUGCUGGCUUAGCUGAGCUUCCAAUAUUAUAAGGUGGGAUCGGAGUGAGUCCCCCGAAGAAAAGUCUCUAAGAGUUGGUACUUAUGCUCGAGCCCCUUGAAGACUCUACUCGCUGCCUGCUUCCUAACUUUCUGAAGCUGCCAACAUCUGUUUUGUUAGGAUCCCUGGGACUCAGGUGUAGUCUAGUUCAGAGGUUGUUUUUGUCAACCAAUCUGGCUUCUGGUCUCUCUUAAGCACCCACAACAAAGGCUUCUAUAGGAAGCUUCUUGGUUCUGCAGUGGAUUGAGACCAGAGAAGGACCACCCUCACUCAUCGGGCAUUCCGUGUUCAGUGCAAUUCAGUAGUUCUCAACCUGUGAGCCAUGACCCCUUUGGCAGUUGCAUAACAGAUAUCCUGCAUAUCAGAUAUUUACAGCGUGAUUCAUAACAGCAGGAAAUUAGAGUUAUGAAGUAGCCAUAAGAUAAUUUUAUGGCUGGGGGGUCAAUAAGAUAUGAAGGACUGUGUUUAUUAAAGAAUCAUGGCGUUAAGAAGGUCGGGGCUCUCCUGCUAUGCACUCAUGUUUCUACCCUGAUGGGACUCACCUUGAAUUUAGAUCCUGUUGACCAAUGAAGUCUCCAUCACGGUGCUCGCCCACUCCCAUCCCUUGCUCUCCCACCACAAAGGAAAGUAAUCCGAUAAGGGAACACACACCGGGUGUUAAUAACUGAUAACUACUUAAUGUAUUAUCCCUCUCAGAGGAAUUAUCCUUAUUUAAGUUUCAAAGCCUUCAUGCAAAGAAAUGAAGUUUUUUUUUAGAUAGUUUUUUUUAAUACUAUUUUUUAGAAGCGAACAACUAUUUGGGAGCAAGGGGUAUCUAAACCUUUCCAAGUGAUAUUGCACAAAAAGUACUUGCUUCAUUUAUUGCUCUAUAAAGGGGCCAACUUGUGGAAAUACGGGAAUCACACACAUGCAGUGAUUCUUGUAUUUACUGCAUCUGAAAGUCACCAGGGGGCUUUGAAAGCUCACAGUACCUAAGCUCUAAUCAGACUAAUAAAAAUCAGAAUUCCUUCCUAGAAGUGAAAUCUGUGCAUUUGUAUUUUCAAAAGAAAAAAUAUUUAGCUUAUUCUGGCUCCGGUAUGCAGUCAAAGUUAAGCCCCACUGUAAUAAUGAACAGAGUCAGAGUGUAGAGUAGUGGUACUCUUAACAAGCCCAGUGAAGCAGGCUUUCUCCUCACAAUGGGAAUGGCUGCCGCUGGACACAAAGCCAGAAUUUCAUUCUGAAAAUGUGUUCAUGUGGCUCUGUAAGUACUUAAUAUAAUCCACACAGGCUAAGUAGUUAGUUGCUAAACUGAAAACACCCAUCUCAUUUCAUCUCAGUCCACUCCUGGCCAUCUGCUCCUCUGAAUUUCCAUUACAGGGCCAUGUGUGUAUUAAUGAAAUGAUUGCAUCCGAUUACAUCUUUUAUUCAGAGAACAAGAAUGGCCCAUGAAUUCCGUCCUCCAGCAUUACUGCUUUUGUGGUGAAGUCACUAAUUAAGUUUACUCCGUUUCAGGCAGAGGUGGGAUCGCUGUUCACUAAGGUAAGAAAAUAAAUCGAAUAUGUUACUGCUGAUAAUAAAAUUAUAGUUUUUGCUGCCUAGCAACUAGAGGAUAGAAACUUCAAUCAAAAAUGUAACUUCAUUGUUUUUUGUUUGCUUGCUUUGCUCAAGACAGUGCUGUCCUGGCACUCUCUCUAGGCCAGGCUGACCUUGAAAUCAGAGAUCUGCCUACCUCUGCCUCCCAAGUGCUGGGAUUGAAGGCGUGUGCCACCACCACCCAUGGUAACUCCAUUUAAAACUGUCCAAAAUAUAUGACUGAUACCAACUGAGGAUUUUAUACCAACUUAUUACAAGUGGUAUAAAAGAGGGCCACCAAGCAGUUGAGCUUGCUCUCUCCUUUCCUACACCUCUCUAGAACAGCGUAGACAGUCAGAGAGCCACAUGCCUGGAUUAUAUCACUCUGUAGUUGUAUGGUUGAGUAGGCAUCAGAAUGAAAAAAAAAAGAAAGAAAGAAAGAAACAAGAAUGGAAAGGGAUUGAAUGAAUACAUAUUAUUGUCUAUUCACUCUAUUAACUAAUACUUAGUUAUUAUACUUAAAUUAUUACUUUAUUAACUGAUAACCUUUCCUACCUACAAUCUUUCAGAAGAGUUUUUAACAGUUUUUUUUAUUGAUUCUUUGUGAGUUUCACAUCAUGUACCUACCAUAGCCCCACUCAUCUAACCUCCACCCUUGUAAUCUCCCCCCACCAAAGGGAUAAAAAGCAAAAAUAAAUAAAUAAAUAAAUAAAAAAUAAGCCAACGAGAAGAAAGCAUGGCAAGCAUUUCAUCAUGGAAGCUGUAGCGUGUCAGUGUGUCCCACACUAGUCCCUUUGUCAAUGCAUCUGUACUUGCAAAUGCUCAUUGAGAUGAGUCAUUGGUCUAGUCUGAGGCAUAUUUUAAAAAAAAAUCAAUAGGCUUUCACGAAUAUCUAGUAUGUGUUUGUAAUCAUUGAUCCAAUCACAUUCUCCCAAAUCACUUAUACUUGAUCUCUGCACAUAGAGAUUUCUGACCCUCUCACUUGUUCAUUCACUUGUUCAACGAGACUUAGUCAUUGCUGCCUGGGUGACAGGAAGACACAGAGGUGAGCAGAGCAGCAUGGUCUCUGACCUCAUGGAACUUAAAAUCUAGUAGGAGAGACAUCUGCAUUUUAACCAGAUGGUAAAGAAUCAAAAAUAAUCUCAAAUGUCAAAGUUUACCUCGAAAACUGUGGUUAAGACAAACUGUUCAGUGACCACUCUGAGACAUGCAGGUCAUGGCGUAGAAUGGAGCAGGGAAAGGGUGGCCUACUCUAUGAGGCAGGGGUGAUGAAAGACAUUCUGUAGCUGAGAUGGGAGUGAGCAGUGAGCAAAACUCGAGGGAAAGGCAGAACAGCAUUCCCAGGUGGAGAAACAGCACAGAACAGCCCUAGGUGAGACACAGCCGCACAUUUAAAGAACUGACUUUUCUCCAUGGCUCAUCAAAGCAGGGAGACUCUUGAGACAAAGCUGCGGAAGUAGGUGGGCAUUAAUUCAAGAAGACCUCAAUAUGUUGGGUUAAAGAUGCUUAACUAUCUUUCUUAAUAGUCAUACGCACCAUUUGAAGAAAGGUAAGAAAGGAGUGAUACGACCAAGCUUAUUCUUUAAGGUUAAAAGAUAAUUACAUGUAUAUGUACGUAGCCAUGUGGGUACGUACUUGUGAAUGUACCACCCUCAGAGGUCCGAAGAGGGUGUCAGGUGUCUCGGAGCUGAAGUCUCAGGUGAUUGCACAGUAUCCCAAAUGGGUGUUGGUCUCUUCUAUGGCUGUGCAGUACGUGCUCUUAAUCCCUGAGCCCAUUGGGUUUGUCUGUUCAAUUUCAAAGCGAUGCUCCAUUUGCAUUGCAAGAAGAUUUGGUUACAAAGGUGCAUUUCUUUUCUAGUUUCCGUGAUCAAGUAGCUGACAGGAAGCAAGUCCAGGAGAGCGCGUUUACUUCUGCUUACAGUUUGAGAGACUCUAUCCUGCUGAAAGAGAAAGACAAAGACAGAAUAGCAGGAUCCCUAGCUGGAUCAUCACUUUUCACUACAGUCGGGGAAACAGAAUGAAUGGAAAGUGAUCUUAUCUAUAAGACACCACCGCCCCAUCCCAAAUUAGUGACCACUACACCUCCUAAAGGUUCCACAGCUUUCCCAAACAGUACCAUUACCUGGCCAAAUCUUCAGACAUGUGACUGACUGACUAUGGGGUGUUUUACUUUCUGACCACAACAGAGUGAGCAAGAAUAGAGCCAAGGAAAAGAGAGGGAUACUGCUACUGCAGAUCCCAGCUGCAGUAUCCGAGAAUAUCCUCACACAGAUACCUGUCUUCCUUCAAAGAUUAUGUUACACCAAAGAAACGUGUUUCUAGAUCUAGCACAUGAUUGCAUCUACCAGCAGGUAAAUUGUAAUACUAUUUAAUUAUGGAGAAAACAGAUAGAUCCUUGGUACAAUGGCCAACAGAAACCACAAGUGGAUAAAUCUCAGAGGUAAUUGUCCAUUGUGACGCCGCACCCAAACUUGUUCAUUUUUAGCCACGGGAAACAAAUGAUGCAAGACAGCUCUCUGGCAUUUGUUGAUUCCAAUGAAUGGUAAGAAUGGCCACUCAGUGAAGGAGUCAAGAUUCCUGUGUUCUCUGUCUCCCUCCUUCUACCCUCUCCAAUAAAAGUCCAAGUUUGCCUCUAUUCAAUAGUUCAGCAAAGUCUAGAAUGAAGUCUAGGUGGGGGAGUAGGGUUCCGCACAAGAAGAAAUAUAUUGAGACAUUAAUAUUAGGAAAUGCCCUGAGUUUUAUUUAAAGGAUUGAUUGAUUGAUUGAUUGAUUGAUUUAUGUAGGGUAACUGUCAAAAUAGGACUAAAGCGUUUGACUACCAAGUAGGACUAAUACCGCUAUUAACCAGCAAUCAUAAAGAGGAUAAAAUGAAGCUAUGUCCUCAAGAAAACAGACACUUGUUCCAAGCACGGUGCCACAUCUCAAGCGUGUUUCUGAGCAUCUAUUUGGCUUCUGUUUGGGGGUUGUAUCCAAAGCCCCUUGUUAGUAGACUAGAAGACUCUCAUCAGUCAUUUAAAAUAUCCACCUUGUUUUCUUUUCUUUUCUUUUUUUCCUCUACAGGUUUUAUGAGCCAACUUGGUUACUCAAAUGUGAAAAUGCAUUUUUUUUCACACAGGUCCGAUGAAGCAAGUAGAAUGCAGACCAAGUCUGACAUCCAGAAGAAAGCUCUGAAUAAAUUUAGCAUUGGGAUUUAAGAAUGAAGUAUGGAAUCUUCUGUCCUUCAGCAAAUGGAAAUUAACUUCCUGUUGGGGAAAAAGGAGUGACUGCGCCCUGACGUUUAAGAGAGUCCUGGUCCUUGGAAUCUGGGAUUCUACCUGAAGUCACAAGGAUGAACAAAUGGUAGAGGCCUAGAGAGAGGCGCCUGAGUGAGCCUGCUUCCUAACCAACUUCUCAGAAUUGUCUGCCGCUGGGCUGCCUAAUAGAAGCUCAAGUUCUGGGAUUCCACCCUUGAAGAGAAAUGAAUCUGCACUUCGUGAGCCCUCACCCCGUAGGCCAGCUGCUGGGCUGAGGAAAGACAAGCGGCCUCCAGAGGGUUGUUAGCAAGAAUGUCCACUUGUUCUUCAAAGGGAGAUGCACAACGCCAGGAAUUUGCAUUAAAAGCAUUUCUUGCUCCUGCCAUUAGCAUCCAAAUCAUCUUUAGCUAACAGCUGAAACCAAAAAAUGAAGAAGCUGGAGCAGCAUCUGCCCCGGGAUUAUACUAUCCAUAGCUCCUUUAUAUAGAUUCUAGAUCAGCUGCUAAACUCUUUCAAAAUGGCACUCUGAAAACAAUGAUCUACUAUUACAGACAAAACUUAGCUAGACCUGCAUAUUCCCAAAGGCUUUGUCUUUCUCUUCAGAGGGGUCAGAAAGCUGCUACUUUUUAGGGAAAGAAACUUCUUAUAGCUAUUUAGUGAUCAGUAUUUCUUGAUCAGUAAACCCUUGGUUAAGAAUGUAAGCAACAUUUAUUUUAUUUUUUCUCCUUUUUGAAUUGUAUCCAUUCUUUGUAUGAGUAUUCCAUUUUGUUUGUCUGUUUGUUUCAAGACAUGUAGCUCUUGCUAUCCUAAAACUCACGUGUACAUCAGACUGGCCUGAACACACUGAGAUCUGCUUAGUUUUGUCUCCUCAGUGAUGAGAUCAAAGGCAUGAGGAUACCUAGGAUCCAAGACUUUUACUCCUACAUUAUGGCUUCUGGUUUUCUGUUUUCAUGGGAUUCCUAAUUGUGCAAGCAAAGUGGGUCUCUGUGUCUUCAUCUGUUUCUUUUGCCUUUUAUUUGACUCAUUUUCUUUCAUUGGAUUGUUUUGUCCUUUUCCAAUGUGUUAGUUUUUGUUUUAUCUUGUAUUUUAUUAUUAUUCUUCAAAUGCCCUCUGUUUUCUAAUGAGAAAUGGAAAAGCUGUGAAUCCUCAUGAGAGGGGAAGGAAGGUACAGAGGAACUGGGAGGAGUAAAAAGAGGAGAGACCAUAAUUAGGAUAUAGUGUAUGAAAAAAAUAAAGGCUAUUUUCAACAAAACAACAACAAAAUAUAGAAUGCAAAUAACCAGCCUACCUUAUCUUCCCAGCGUUUGCUUGAUUGUUAAAAGGAAGACUGAUUUUGAACUUAAGAUUCUCUCUGCCUAGGCUUCAUGAGUGUUCUUAGUGUAGGAUUGUCUCACUAUGAAUGUGAGACAUAAUGUCUCACUCAUCCACUAACUGCAGAAAUUAAAACAAUAGAGGCUUGGUCCAAAGCCAAUGAUCUAUGUCCAUUUAAGGAAAGAAACAGAGACGGUAUGUUCAAACUAAAAGUAACCAAACAUCCAUCGCUACCAUCACUUAUGCACAAAUGCUAACCCCAGUACAAAAAGGAAAGAGCUCUGGGGCUUAAGAGAUGAACCACCCUUUAAUGGCAAAAGAAAGAAUCAGCAAUUAAACCAUGAUGAUGUGGCAUUAGAAAAAUAAUCACAACAACUUUAAAAUUUACCCAAAGAAUGAAUCCUUUAGGUAAAAUAUUGCAUCAUUAAAGAAAAUAUUGCAUAAUUAAAGAAUGAUUGAUUGCAUGCACAUUGGACUCAUCUCUCCACCAAUGGUCACUCUAUCUAUCUAUCUAUCUAUCUAUCUAUCUAUCUAUCUAUCUAAUGACAAGAGGAUUCAUAGCAGUAAUUCUAAGUGUGCAAAGGGAGGAGCCUUGAGGCCAAUACCCCAGACUGACCUAAAACCUCAUGCCUAGUGUCCCUAUAGGGAUCUCAUCUUAAAGCUGCUAGCCCAAUAUGAUGGGGAUGAGGAAGAUACUGGGGUAGGAUAGAAGAUAUUGUGACAGAAAACUAUAAACCAGAAAGGAAGGAAAGAAGGAAGAAAAAAGCCAGAGAGCAGAAGUGCAUGCCUGUGAUCCCAGCACUUGGAAAUCUAAGGCAGGAAGAUCAAGAAUUUGGCCUAAUAUGGAUUCCAUAGGGAGAGCUGGUUUCUAAAUCGAAUGCAACAAACUUUUUAAAACUAAGCAUUUUGCAUUUAAAGCAUUGAUAGGUAUUAGCCAAAGAGCUACCCUUUGCUUUUGUUUGGUAGAGAGGAAUCUUAGGUAAACUGUGCUCAUAACUAACCUAUGAGGCAGAAGGUCAUAUACCAUACAAUAGAUCUGUUCGGAUACUUUCUAGAAAUAUCCAAAUCAAAGACCUAACUUUUAAAUUCUAAAACACUGUCCUAUGGAUUACAUAGUCUGUUGAUCUAUCUGUAAAUUAACCCUUAUUCUGACUAAAUGUAAAAAGUUGACCUUAUAUCUGCCUGUUUCCUCUCAUGAGACAUACACACAUGAACCUGAGAGGCUCAGUGGUGGUGAAAGCUUUAUUGGUUCUGCUUCCUGUAUUCAACCAUGCUGUCACAAGGAAAAUGAAAAGUUAAAAAAAAAAAAAUUAAGACCGGCCUUGAAUGAACAGAUGUUGUUUCUUUCCAGAGAUGAUUAUGUAUGUGUGGGAGGUCAGAAUAAUAUUUCACAAUCACCAGCUUGGGUCUGAAUCUAAUAACUUCAUGUGGCAUGCUAGGGAAACAAAAUACCCUAUCUUCAGAACAUGUGCUAAUUCCAGUAAAGUAUUUUUUACCUUCCUGGCCACUCUGAAUAUUAUUUAAAUUCCUAGCAUCGACUAUGAAGAUGUCUAAACCUCAGUGGCUAGCUGGUUUUAAACAAAUGUCUUUGUGGGUCGCCCUGGUGCUGUUUUUAUUUUGAUGCUAAUUCCGCUUCCCCAAGAAGGGCUGCGUGGGAUGAGGAGGGAACCAGUACUCAGGUGACUUCACUGGAACCUUCUCCUGAUUUUAACUUGUAAAAUAAAGGCUAGAGCCCAUGAUUUGGCAGGGGAAGGAAGGUGGAGCUGAAGAGUUGUGGGGAGACAGAGGAAGGGGGGGAGAGGAAGAAGAGGUGGAAGGAAGAUGGAGAUGAAGCACAUGGCCUGCAGAAACCGCAAAUUAUAAGGGCUCUCAUAGCUGGGGAUAAAGUCGUGUAGCAGUAGAUCUGCCCAAUCUAGGCACGCAGCUUGUAUUCAUAUUAUUUGAGUUGUGUUUUCAUUAAACGGGCUUGUCUGGAUUGGAGAAAUUACCUCAACAUGUCUUCCAGUGCUUUCUCUGGUGGACUCAAGAAUCAGUGAAACUUGAAGAAGUCCCACAUUUUCUUUUGUCAAUAAUUUAGCAAAAUGUUUCAGAUGACGAAUAUUUAUUUUUUUACGUUUAUUUGGUGUGCGUGUGUACAUGUGUGUGUGUGUGCGUGUGCGUGUGUGUGUGUGUGUGUGUGUGUGUGUGUGUGUGUUGCUGUAUAUGUGUGGAGGUCAAAUGGUAACUUGCACAACUUAGUUGCCUCCUCUGCCAUGUGGAUUCUAGGGAUUCUACUCAGGUUAUCAGACUUGGUAACAGGUGCCUUAAGCCAGCAUCAUGUUGCCUUACUAUAAGAUAAACAUUUUCAUUUGAAAGAAUAUUCUCAGUACAAUUUAAAUACCGGUGUGCAUCAUGUAAAAUGUAAAUAUGAACAAGAGUAAAAAUCCAAUUCUGUGGCUCAGUGAUGCACCUCUGAAAUCCAGAGGUGGUUUUUACAUUCUGUUGAUUUGAUUGAUUUUCACCAGAUGCCGUGUCUAGACACUGUGUGUGCCAAGGAGUGCUAGAAUGGAUGAGGCAGAGGAAAAUGCUUCACACUGACAGUAUUUAACACAAAAGUGCCACAAUGUAAAAGAAGAAUUAAGCAAAGGCUAAAGGGCUGGAAGACAGAAGGCAGCCUUUCUCAUUAGAGCCCGUGGAAAGGCUGCGUAGCCUGUGCAGCCUGACAUGCCUCUAAGGGCUGCUUGAGUAAUAGGUUCUUGCCAAUACUAACCCACCCCAAGUUGGCAUAACUUUCUAUGUAACUUAGCGGAAAGGACAGGAGUGCUAAUGAUCAGAAGCUCCAAAGAUAAAACACCAGGAGGAAGAAUCACUCAGUAAGCUUUAUCAUGUUAUGCUGUGUUUAUGAAGUCACUUUCUACCACAAUCAUUUUUUAUUUAAAGAACACUCAUUUCUGUAAUAAAACCCAGAAUAUAAGAUCUUACAUAUUCAAUACAGUGCACUUACUCAUGUACAGAUGGAAAAAAAUAAGUUCAGUAUUUCAAGACCAAGAUGGCUGCUAAUUUAUCUACAAUGUCACCUUUACAUUGGGUAAACAAUUUUUGUCUUGUUUACCCAAUGCAAAGCCUGCACAAAAACCUCCAUGUAUUUGAAAAAACACUUUAAAACUUGAUUCAGAUCUUUUCCACCAAUGGGGCUAUUUUUAAAUCUGCCUUCAACUUUCCUCUGUAACCUAAUUCUGCUCCAAUUCUUCAAGUGCAAUAAAGUGUCUUUUAGUCAAA